UACAUUUUCUCUUUUUCUUCAUAGAGUGAGAGUGGAAAUAGGGGUUUAAGGUUCUUGAAGGUAAGUUGUUCAUCCUCCGGAUACCGAAUCUCUCGUCAAGCUUUUAAAACAGAAAAAUCCCAAUUCAUCAAUGGAUAAGGAAAAAACAAGGGAUGAAGAGAAGCAGCAGAAAGACACUUCCUUUGACCUCAGUGAUUACACCAUCAUCAAAGAAGGAGAAGCUGAGAUUCUUAUGCAUUCCAAAAAUCAAGUCUUUUACAACAAAACCCAGGUGAAUAAUAGAGAUAUGUCUAUAGCUGUUUUGAGGACCUUUAUAUCACAGCGCAAGCUGGAGCAUGAAUCAAUGUUGGACAGACGAGUGAAGACUGGCCCUAAAGUACCAGAUAAAUCAGUUUCUGAAAUGGAACCUCCAGCUGAUUCUGUGCAGUAUAAUGGAAAAUCCAAUGAUGGAUAUGAACUCUUGGAAGAGAUGUCCUCGGAUGAACCAUGUAGCAUCUCAGGGGCGCCGACCAGAAAUCUACAGGGAAAAGACCGAGAAGAGCUGAAGCCAGCACGAGUUCUUGAGGCUCUUUCAGCUUCUGGAUUAAGGGCUUUAAGAUAUGCACGUGAAGUAGAAGGAAUUGGUCAAGUUGUGGCCCUUGACAAUGAUAAAGUCUCUGUAGAAGCUUGCAGGAGAAACAUAAGAUUCAACGGUGCUGUGGCAUGCUCAAAGCUGGAGUCCCACCUUGCUGAUGCUCGAGUAUAUAUGCUUACCCACCCCAAAGAGUUUGAUGUGGUUGAUCUUGAUCCUUAUGGAUCACCAUCUCUGUUCUUGGAUUCUGCUGUUCAAUCAGUUGUAGACGGGGGAAUAUUAAUGUGUACUGCUACUGAUUUGGCAGUGCUAUGUGGGGGAAAUGGAGAAGUAUGCUAUUCCAAAUAUGGCUCCUAUCCAUUGAGAGGGAAAUAUUGCCAUGAAAUGGCUUUGCGGAUCCUUCUUGCCUGCAUCGAGAGCCAUGCAAAUCGGUACAAAAGAUAUAUUGUUCCAGUAUUAUCUGUUCAGAUGGACUUCUAUGUACGUGUUUUUGUUCGUAUCUAUAGUUCAGCAAGUGCUAUGAAGAAUACUCCUCUGAAGCUCUCAUAUGUCUAUCAGUGCACUGGUUGUGAUUCUUUCCAUCUUCAGCCAGUCGGAAGAACUAUCUCAAAGGAUAACAGACUCAGAUACCACCCUGGAUUCGGCCCAGCUAUUCCUCAAGAGUGCAGUGAUUGUGGAAAAAAAUUCAAUAUGGGUGGACCCAUAUGGUCUGCGCCCAUCCAUGAUCAAGAAUGGGUAGCUUCCAUACUUGCUGAUGUGAAAUCAAUGAAGGAACGGUAUCCAGCUUAUGAUCGAAUCUGUGCUGUUUUGACAGCAAUUUCAGAGGAAUUACCUGAUGUUCCUCUGUUUCUGAGUUUGCACAAUAUCUCCGCAACACUGAAGUGCACUUCUCCCUCAGCAGUUAUGUUUCACUCUGCUGUAAUCAAUGCAGGAUAUCGUAUAUCGGGGACUCAUAUGAAUCCUUUGGGAUUGAAAACAGAUGCUCCUAUGCACACCAUUUGGGAUAUCAUGCGUUGCUGGGUCAAAAAUCAUCCUGUGAAAGCUCAACCAUCUAACCAGGCUGGAAGUGUGAUUCUUGCUAAGGAACCUGUUCUGCAGGCUAAUUUUGCUCAGGCUGUUGCAUCCCUUAGCAAGGCACAGGCCAAGAAGGUUGCUCGUUUCCUUCCUAAUCCCGAAAGGCAUUGGGGCCCAAAACUCAGGGCAGGUCGCCAGAUUACCGGUAAGCAUGUGUCUCUUCUGGGUACCAAAGCAGUGAAUGCAUUUAGCAGCUUUGAGGAUAGUGAUGAGCCUGCAACCAAGCGUAAGAGGACUGAAGAUCCUGAUUCCAAUGGCGGAGAUACUCUUUAUUAAGGGGUGUCAUCUAACACCGCUUCAUGAAAAGCAAAAUAUUGAAAAAUAAUAAGUAUGCAUACAAUAGGUUGAAACCGCCUGAAAAUAAUAUGAAGUAACUAUCAAUUUUAGACUGAAAAUAAACCUUAAAUCCAUCAAAAGCUCAGAUCUAAACAUCUUACAAGACAAAUCGCGACAAUAGUCCGACACCACUUGUGCAAAAUCUUGCAUUCGCCACUGCCCGGUUCAUAAAUUAUAUCUUGGCCAAACUGGUCUUGUGCCUGCUUUUUAUCCUCUCAUAAUCUGUUUCUUCUGCAUUUCCUUGCAGAGAGGAUUGUGAAAAUGCUUGUAGGACUUGGGAGGUAGAUAUUUCAUUUGUGUCGGUUUUUUGAAUCUUAAAGGAGGUGGUAUUCUUGUGGAACUAAUGCUUCUAAAGAUUUGUUGCCUCGCUAAACAUAAGUAGGCAACCUGGUGCACUAAGCUCCCAGCUAUGCACGGGGUUAUCCUAAUUUCUGCAAGAUGUUGUUUUCACUUUCCAGGGCUCGAACUCAUGACCUCCUGGUCACAUGACAGCGACUUUACCAGUUACGCCAAGGCUCUCCUUUUGGCUAAACAUGAGUAACAAAGUAUUAUUAUUCCAUAACAAGCCAUAACAUAUCCUCAUCCAAUAAUACAUCGCACUGAAAUGGAGAGGAAAGCCAGUCGUCAAGAUUACUUAUUUAUGUGACACAAGCAGUUGGAGGUAAUCCACAACUUUCUUGUCAACUUGGAAUGCUUUUAUGAGAACAUCAGGAUUGAUUGGUGGGUCUGAACCUAAAACUGCAAACGCAAUAGUGAUGACUCCUGGAUUUCGAAUAGUGAGUCCAGCAAAUGCAACAACCUUAGUCUUUCCCACAUUAAAUUGAAAAUGAAUGAGAUCUAUUGUGAAAACGAAUACAUCUCCAGAAUUUUGAAUUGGUAUUACCAAGUCAUCAAUCGAUAAAUUUAUACACCUGAAGCUUUCCUUCAACAACUACAAAGACCAGACCUAAUUUACCCAGCAGGUUGAGAAAUUAUGAUUUGAAACUUCCCAAGGGAAAGGGAAAAAAAAGAUCACAACCCACUAGAUAUAGGCUGAGAUGCUUUAUAUUGGACAGAUAUUCAAAUAAUAUGUACAGUAAUCUGCAAUGAUUUAAUCUAAAUCUUCAUUGACCUCAGAAA